GACGAACGCUGGCGGCGUGCUUAACACAUGCAAGUCGAGCGAGGCCCCUCCUUCGGGAGGGUGUCCUAGCGGCGAACGGGUGAGUAACACGUGGGCAACCUGCCCUCAGCUCUGGGAUAACUCCGGGAAACCGGGGCUAAUACCGGAUACGACCUCCACGGGCAUCUGCGGAGGUGGAAAGUUUUUCGGCUGAGGAUGGGCCCGCGGCUUAUCAGCUAGUUGGUGGGGUAGUGGCCCACCAAGGCGACGACGGGUAGCCGGCCUGAGAGGGCGACCGGCCACACUGGGACUGAGACACGGCCCAGACUCCUACGGGAGGCAGCAGUGGGGAAUAUUGCGCAAUGGGCGAAAGCCUGACGCAGCGACGCCGCGUGAGGGACGAAGGCCUUCGGGUUGUAAACCUCUUUCAGCAGGGACGAAGCGAAAGUGACGGUACCUGCAGAAGAAGCACCGGCCAACUACGUG
rnacentral:rRNA from 1 species